rnacentral:misc_RNA from 1 species
GUCACCUCUAAGGGUGAAUUGACUGAAUUGCCCUUUACCGAUCUGAUCCGGUUUACCAAUAGCAUUGUAUUGUUUCAUGAACCCUAAUCUAAUUAUUUAACCUUGUUCUCAAUUCUUUUCUGUGGUCUCUCAUUUCCACUAGCUUUGCAAUAAUUUCUAGGCCUGCAGUGUCACAAUUUCUCAUACAAAAUUAGGGUUUUGGCUGAUCUUGCAAUCACUUACCGGUACGGUCACCCAUCGCUGUGACCU